AGCAGGACAGCCAAGGAUUCUGGGGAGGUCACACUGAAAAGGUGACAUCUGAGCAGGCUUGAAGGUGACAAGGAGGUGGGCCAUGCUGCUCUCAAGGGAAAGGCAUUCCAGGAAUUUCACAUCAGGCUCACCAGGAUGUGGGUGUAGUCCAGAGGCCCUACCCUCUCCCACAACCCUCCCUUAAGGUAUGUGACACCCAGCAGGAGAGGCACCCUGCUCUCACCAAGACCACUCCCUCACCUGGGUCUGGAUGUCCAAUUGCCAGAAGCCACGGGGGCUUCCAGUCUGGGAGGGAGGCUCUUAAGACCCCUGCUUGAAUUUGCAAGGACAUCCACCUUGACUUCACCAGUAGAGUGAAGAGUCGCCACACCACGCCCACCACCAACAGAAGCCCCAAGGGCUCUGCAGCCCCCACAGGGCCCAAGGUCAGCCAGGCUUGAUCAGAGGACAAAGGACAAGGACAGAGAGAGCCUGCCUCUUCUUUUCUACCCGAAGACCAGGUGGUGGCUGCUCAUUGUUGGGCCUCCUCCCAUAGCUCUCCGACACCAUUCUGCUGCUCCAGAAUGAAGGCCUAUUCAUCACACUGCACCAAGCCUUCGGCAAUUUGGGCAAAUGAAGAAGAGACAGCCCUCCUUGGUGAUGUUGGCUGCUAAGGUCUCAAUGGCCUGCUGCCCCUGGCAAGCCUUCCCCUUUGGGCUCGGCUGAGUGUUUCCAUUACCAAUGAGAGGGAGCUCUUGAG